CCUGAGAGCACUUUUCGAUUCCUGGAAUCCUGUGUCUGUAGACGUGACGGAGUCCGUUGUGGUACUUCUGGAUUUACGAGAGCAGUUUAGGCACAGAAUGAAGAAUAAAACAGUAAAUAUGUUAGAAUUAGUUAGUCAUCAGCUACGAAAACAUGAAUGUUCAAAAGAUGGCUUCAUUAAGAGUAGGCUUUCUGUAAAUCAUUAAUAUUAUGCAACAGUGUUGUUUUUUAUCAAAUACUGAAACAAAGACUUUGUUAUACAUUAAGCACCAAUAAAAAAUUGCAUUUCUAGCUCUAUGUCUUUGAAAA